CAAAGAAAAUAAAGGUUUUAUUUAAAUUUAAAAGACCCAGAAUUAUCUUUUAAAAGUUUGUGAGAAAGGAGAAACAGCACAAAGAUAAUCAAUAGCAACCACAUCAGGUGUCAUAGAUGGCAAAUAUUUCAAAGUCUAAACGAUAUCCCAAAUAAAUCUAUUUUUAAUAGAAAUUUAAAUCUGUGAUAUGUCCACCAAUAUUUUGGGGAAAGCACAUUCUUAUCUGACCUGUACAGGUGAAAAAAAAGAGAGUUGAAGUAUAUGGAAAUUACAUGAUCUUGCUUGGGGAAAUAAAAAGCUGAUACUGGUUGAAGGGAGUGCCAGUUCAAUCCAUUAGCUUUAUAACACCAGACAGGUUCCUCCACCCUUUAUUUCACAUGAUGAACUUAAUAACUUAAUCAGUACUUCUAAAAGUUUCCACCACAGGGCAGGAAUUCUUGUUUUUUUUGUUUUUUUUUAACUUCCAGAAUCCAUCAUAACGUCUCAUGCUCUGGGAAGGGAACUGCUAAACUAAGAAAUGUGACUUAGAAAAAUUAUGGUUUUCAUUAAAUUAAAAGAACAAUAUAAGCAGAACUUCUGGAAAAUCUAAAAAUAAAAAAAAAAAAAAAAAAAAAGAGAGAGAGAAAUGAAAGACAAAUUUCCAGGUACAAAGACUUAUUAAUGCCUGAAACUGAGGCUUUAUAUUUUAGUCCAAACCUGGGAUGAGUGUGCCAAAGGGCUUCUGUGUUUCCACAGCUGUAUCAAUUGAUUUAAGGAAAGAUCAUCUAAAUAAAUUACCUUGCUUGUAUUCUGUCAUACAUUUUGUUAAUAUUAAUUUCAUACAGUCAUAGAAUCUUAACCUCUUAUUGAUCUCCUUUGCAGUGGUGAACACCAGGUCCAGUAAUGUUUCACUUUUAGUUGGUUUGUCUAAUACCUGGACUAGGAAUUCAUAUUGCCAAUGAACUCCAAGAGCAUCCUGGAUUACUUGCAGUCUGCUUUACUAGCAGACAUCUGAAAUCCUUCCAGGUGAUAGUCUGUGAGUAUGACACUUCCUGUAGUUAAACCAAGAAGGCCUCAUCCACAGUCUCCCCUUCUUCAGGCGGUCUGUUAUAGACCCAACCAACAUAUGUUCUUUAUUGGUUCAGUCCCCGGUUUUAACCCACAAGUUUUUGACAUGAUCAUGGCAGUUUUUUAGAGACAUCUCUUCAUAAUCUAUCUGCUUACUAAGUUCUCCACCCUGCCUGCCCUGCUUCUCUCUUCUAAAAAUUUGCAGCUGUCAAUCAUAGUAUUCCCAUAGUGCUAUUUGUCCCACCACAUAGGAAGAUGACCACAACCUGGAAGUCUGGGGUGGGGAGCAGACCUCCCAUGCUUCAGGUGGAAACAGAGACCUGCUACUCCAUCUGGACCAUAACAGGUCUAUGUGGUUGGAGCCACUCAAGGGUGCUGAGAGAGCUGGCAGAGGUGACUGCCAAGCCACUCUCCACCACCUAUCAGUGUUCCUAAUCAACCAGAGAGGUCCCAGGAAUGCAGAUCCAUCUAUAAGAAGGGUCAUAAGGAGAAUAAAGUGGACUACAGGUCUGUCAACCUGACCUUGGUGGCAGGGAAAUUUAUGGAGCA
ensembl:lncRNA